CGCAGUGUAGCUCAGAGGAUAGAGCCCUUGGUUUCUAGGUAUAUAGUGGAUUUAGCAUUUUCACUCAUACCGCUGAGGAGGUCGUAGGUUCAAGUCCUACCACUGCGU
rnacentral:tRNA from 1 species